GGAGAUGUCGCUAGUCAAAAGAAAUCUAAUGGAGGAAUUUGGGAAAGUUUCUUUCACAUGAAAGGAUUCAUGCUCUCCUUCUGGUUGCUAUGACGAGACAGAUGUGGAACUUUUCAUUUCCCCGGAUUGUAUAGACUUCAGCUGUCAACUCGAGUGAAUGUCAGCCCACAAGACAGCUCACUUCAGGCCUUUUAUUAUUUUCAGUUUUGUAAUAGUAAGAAAAAAAAUGACUGAUGUAAAGAGAGGACUAUAUUUCUAAACCCCACCCAGGGGUGUUCCUCUUCAGAGGGGUAAGUGGUGAGGGAAAUAGAACUGCUAGGCUGAAGGAAGGUAUGGAGAUCUUCUCUAAAUCUGAGAAGGAGGGGAAAGUGUGUAGUUUGGGACUCGAAGAGUAGUAGAAAUCUCUGCACUGUUCCCUCCCUCUCAUGCCCCUAGGGAGGUAGGACCCUAGGGGUCAGGCUUCCAAUCUCAGCAAAACUCCAGCCCACAUCUCAGCUCUGGAGCCACCAUGUAGUUUGAACCACGGGCAGCCCACUCACCAGGGACGAUGACCAGUGUGGGAUGAAAAACACUGGGUUUCUCCAAAUGUUCUCAGCCAAGUAAGGUUUUCAGGAUCUACAUUGGACCUGGACAGAGCGGGGUGAAAGAGCCCAAAUAUUAGCCAAAAUUUAUUUUCCUUCAGUCUGUUGGUUAGAUUAAAUUUUAUUUAGAAAAGUAACAAAUGUGGUAUUUCUUAAACUUGAGAUGUGGAGUAAAAUUCACGACAGCUGCAUUUUAUACUUUACCUAAUUUACUUUCCCAGGGGUUUGGAAAGAAUCCUCUGAAAUAUUAAGGGAAGUUUCCUUCAAUGGGAUUGUUAUAUUCACAAUUUUGAAUUUUUUUGUCGUAUGUUAUGAACUGAAUUGUACCCGCCCCCCACCACCCCCCCCCCCCCCGAUAUGUUGAAGCCCUAACCCACAAUGUGACUGUAUUUGGUGAUAGGACCUUUAAAGAAAUAAUUAAAGUUAAAUGAGAUCAUAAGGGUGGAGUCUAAUCCAAUAUGAUUGAUGUCCUAAUGAGAGAGAGAGAGACAUCAGGAACGUGUGCGCAGAGGAAAGGUCAUAUGGGGACACAGCAUGAAGGCAGCCAUCUGCACGCCAAGGAGAAAGACCUCAGGAGAAACCAACUCUGCUAACACGUUGAUCCUGGACUUCCAGCCUCCAGAACUGUGAGAAAAUAAAUCUCUGUCGUUUAGACCAGCCAGUCUACAGUAUUUUGUUAUGGCAGCUCUAGCAAAGGAAUACACCAUAUUUAGUACUUUCAUGUACAGGUCUUUAUUCCCAUAGGAAAUCUCCAAUAUUGUAUGCUACUAGAAAUUCUUAUGCUGUGUGGAACUGAUUUACACUCAACUAGGUAAAAUGAUUCACUUUCUGAAAAGAUUGUUGCAAGGGGCUGCAGAACAUACUGAGAUCUCAUUGCCCAAACACAUAGAAAACAAAUGAUGCUCCAACAGUGACUGGAAGUCAUGUGGAGUAGGUAGGUGUGUGUGCAGGAUGAGGCGGCUCUACUAUUGUAAGUUAAAACUGGAAGUACUUUCCCCAGGUACUGUGGUAAUGCUAGCAUCACAUUAACCUUUGUUCAUAGGAAUGUGCUGAACACAUGUUACUUAACCAGGGAGGAGAUAUUAAAUUAUAAAAAUUACUUUCUUUCUACCAUACUUGCUUGAAUGUUGCCAUCACAAUUUAAAUUUUCUUUUACACAAUUUAAAAUCUUUAAGGAGUAAGAGUCAAUCUGCUUCUGAUUUUAUAGACCUCUAAAAUUGCUAGCUAAAUUUCAUAGAUGCUGUCAAAAAAAAAAAAGAGAGAGAACAUAGGAAAAUACAAAGACAAGGAAAACAUAUUACCAUACCAUAAGUUCCUAGAUCAAGGAUAUAUCAUUAUAUCCUUGAGACCAUCAAACACACUGUUUUGCACACGGUUGGCAUUUAUGAUUGUUUUAAUGCACUGCAACUCUAAGACAAAGAAAAGCACGUAACUAAUAUGACUGUAGAAUAAAGACUAAAUUUUGCAUAUGACAUGUGAAAUCAAGUUUUAUCACUUUACAAUUAUAUACUGUAAAUGAGUGAAAAUAUGUGAGUAGGUUUCUACUUGGACGAAUACACUGACA
ensembl:lncRNA